UACGAAGGGUGCAAGCGUUACUCGGAAUUACUGGGCGUAAAGCGUGCGUAGGUGGUUUGUUAAGUCCGAUGUGAAAGCCCUGGGCUCAACCUGGGAAUUGCAUUGGAUACUGGCAGGCUAGAGUGCGGUAGAGGAUGGCGGAAUUCCCGGUGUAGCAGUGAAAUGCGUAGAGAUCGGGAGGAACAUCUGUGGCGAAGGCGGCCAUCUGGACCAGCACUGACACUGAGGCACGAAAGCGUGGGGAGCAAACAGG
rnacentral:rRNA from 1 species